GAUGAACGCUGGCGGCGUGCCUAAUACAUGCAAGUCGAGCGAACGGACGAGAAGCUUGCUUCUCUGAUGUUAGCGGCGGACGGGUGAGUAACACGUGGAUAACCUACCUAUAAGACUGGGAUAACUUCGGGAAACCGGAGCUAAUACCGGAUAAUAUUUUGAACCGCAUGGUUCAAAAGUGAAAGACGGUCUUGCUGUCACUUAUAGAUGGAUCCGCGCUGCAUUAGCUAGUUGGUAAGGUAACGGCUUACCAAGGCAACGAUGCAUAGCCGACCUGAGAGGGUGAUCGGCCACACUGGAACUGAGACACGGUCCAGACUCCUACGGGAGGCAGCAGUAGGGAAUCUUCCGCAAUGGGCGAAAGCCUGACGGAGCAACGCCGCGUGAGUGAUGAAGGUCUUCGGAUCGUAAAACUCUGUUAUUAGGGAAGAACAUAUGUGUAAGUAACUGUGCACAUCUUGACGGUACCUAAUCAGAAAGCCACGGCUAACUACGUGCCAGCAGCCGCGGGUAUACGUAGGUGGGCAGCGUUAUCCCGAAAUUAUUGGGCGUAAAGCGCGCGUAGGCGGUUUUUUAAGUCUGAUGUGAAAGCCCACGGCUCAACCGUGGAGGGUCAUUGGAAACUGGAAAACUUGAGUGCAGAAGAGGAAAGUGGAAUUCCAUGUGUAGCGGUGAAAUGCGCAGAGAUAUGGAGGAACACCAGUGGCGAAGGCGACUUUCUGGUCUGUAACUGACGCUGAUGUGCGAAAGCGUGGGGAUCAAACAGGAUUAGAUACCCUGGUAGUCCACGCCGUAAACGAUGAGUGCUAAGUGUUAGGGGGUUUCCGCCCCUUAGUGCUGCAGCUAACGCAUUAAGCACUCCGCCUGGGGAGUACGACCGCAAGGUUGAAACUCAAAGGAAUUGACGGGGACCCGCACAAGCGGUGGAGCAUGUGGUUUAAUUCGAAGCAACGCGAAGAACCUUACCAAAUCUUGACAUCCUUUGACAACUCUAGAGAUAGAGCCUUCCCCUUCGGGGGACAAAGUGACAGGUGGUGCAUGGUUGUCGUCAGCUCGUGUCGUGAGAUGUUGGGUUAAGUCCCGCAACGAGCGCAACCCUUAAGCUUAGUUGCCAUCAUUAAGUUGGGCACUCUAAGUUGACUGCCGGUGACAAACCGGAGGAAGGUGGGGAUGACGUCAAAUCAUCAUGCCCCUUAUGAUUUGGGCUACACACGUGCUACAAUGGACAAUACAAAGGGCAGCGAAACCGCGAGGUCAAGCAAAUCCCAUAAAGUUGUUCUCAGUUCGGAUUGUAGUCUGCAACUCGACUACAUGAAGCUGGAAUCGCUAGUAAUCGUAGAUCAGCAUGCUACGGUGAAUACGUUCCCGGGUCU
rnacentral:rRNA from 1 species